rnacentral:rRNA from 1 species
UUGAACGCUGGCGGCAUGCCUUACACAUGCAAGUCGAACGGCAGCACGGGAGCAAUCCUGGUGGCGAGUGGCGAACGGGUGAGUAAUAUAUCGGAACGUGCCCAGUCGUGGGGGAUAACGUAGCGAAAGCUACGCUAAUACCGCAUACGAUCUAUGGAUGAAAGCGGGGGAUCGCAAGACCUCGCGCGAUUGGAGCGGCCGAUAUCAGAUUAGGUAGUUGGUGAGGUAAAGGCUCACCAAGCCGACGAUCUGUAGCUGGUCUGAGAGGACGACCAGCCACACUGGAACUGAGACACGGUCCAGACUCCUACGGGAGGCAGCAGUGGGGAAUUUUGGACAAUGGACGCAAGUCUGAUCCAGCCAUUCCGCGUGCAGGAUGAAGGCCCUCGGGUUGUAAACUGCUUUUGUACGGAACGAAAAGGUUUCUAUUAAUACUAGGAGCUCAUGACGGUACCGUAAGAAUAAGCACCGGCUAACUACGUG